rnacentral:rRNA from 1 species
CCUACGGGGCGCAGCAGUGAGGAAUAUUGGUCAAUGGACGAGAGUCUGAACCAGCCAAGUAGCGUGAAGGAUGACUGCCCUAUGGGUUGUAAACUUCUUUUAUAUGGGAAUAAAACAGGGUAUGCAUACCCUCUUGUAUGUACCAUAUGAAUAAGGAUCGGCUAACUCCGUGCCAGCAGCCGCGGUAAUACGGAGGAUCCGAGCGUUAUCCGGAUUUAUUGGGUUUAAAGGGAGCGUAGGUGGAUUGUUAAGUCAGUUGUGAAAGUUUGCGGCUCAACCGUAAAAUUGCAGUUGAAACUGGCAGUCGUGAGUACAGUAGAGGUGGGCGGAAUUCGUGGUGUAGCGGUGAAAUGCUUAGAUAUCACGAAGAACUCCGAUUGCGAAGGCAGCUCACUGGACUGCAACUGACACUGAUGCUCGAAAGUGUGGGUAUCAAACAGGAUUAGAUACCCGAGUAGUC